CAAAGAACCCCAGCGCCAUGUCAUGACUACAACUUGGUUGAAGCAGCAGAUGAUUCAGGCUAAAUCUUCCACGCCACAUUUCAUAUAUCUAAAGAUUCAAUCACAUGACAUAAAAAUGCUUGUACCUUCCAAGCGUUUUUGUCUAGCCAUUUAACUACAGGUUAUGCCACCAAAACAUGUCAAUGAACAAUGCCGAACCCACAUCGUGCCUGGGCAUAAUUAUGCUUAAGGUGAUAUUUAGAGCAAUUUUCACAUUCCUGAAGACACAACACUCGAGUUCAUUGCAAAGUUAAUGGACAACAGAAAACAGAACUUGAACACUUCCCAACAUAAUUUAAGACAGGAUACAAGCUUCUGAUUCAUGCAGAAAAUAAUUACCCGGUAAUUCAGCAAUUCCAAGGUUUGCCUUUUAGCAAGUAACCUUUUUGUGGCAUUAACGAUAGAGGAAGAGUCGUAAACAGAAAAUAUCUCCUCUAGAAAUUUGGUUUAAUAAAGCACAUGAAAUAGUGAAACAGUGAAACACAGUCAAAGUUGCAGAACCAAUAAAUUUCACAUGUAUACAAACAGCAAUGAGAUUAAUGUCCACUCAAGACAGUUCUCUCCUGGGCGAUGAAUUUUACAAUAGUGAAAACAUUCUUAUCUUUCUUUUUUUUUUUUUUCGCAUUCAAAUAUAUCACUCAAAGGUGGAGUAGGUUAAAAGUACAGCAAGUAUCCAAAAACACCUCUGGCUAUUCAGCAAGAGAUUGAAAACAAAAGGAUGUCAUACAUUAGUCGUCCUAUUUGUCUGACGAAACUACCUUUAAACUGUGAAGGCAAAAUUUUUUUCAUUAGAAAAGGCUACUUCAGAAUAUUGUCAACUCAAUAAUAUAUUGAGAGUGUCCGAUGGUGUCGAAGAGAUGGGCACCGCACGCCAAAAGCCCAGAGCCAAAGGUCCAAUUCAAUACUCAGCACCUGAGUAAACAAGUAACCAAAUUAGAAUAAUGAAAGAAGAGAUGUGGAGAAACAAUAGAAGAAGAUAAAGGCUCAUGCUUUUAAGUUAAUGAUAAAACAUGACAAAGUUAGAUGGGCUGUCUCUGCAGGACAAUUAGCGGAGAUAGGAAAGGGAAACUCUUCUACUGGUAGCAACCAUCAAUAAAGACUUUUGAUCUUUGAAGCAUUUUUAUACAUUAAACAUCUAAUUCUAUGAAUUUCGUUCAACUUUAUGAGAAUCUGGCAUAGCAGGUAAAUACUCCACUGCAACCCAACAUGGCAUCAUCAAGCAUCAGGGAAAUGAUGAAUAUUAAAAGAUCUUUUAGUCAUGAACUGCAGUCCAUACUGCAGCAAAUUCAAUUACAGUGAGACAACAUGAUGCAUUGCGGAAUUAGAUAAUCAUCUAGAGCAAUUAACAAGUCCACUGGAUGUGUCUCAGUGCGAUUUUAUCUGCCAAAAUCAAUCAUUAUGCCUUCAAAUGCACGCAAUGAAUUUUCUGGAUGCGUGUACCAAAGCACAUUGCUGGUAUAUGAAAGAUCAAUUUAAUCAGGGACUUCUUAUGAGAUGCUACUGAUAUAGGCUAAGGUUCACACAAUCAAAGAAAUUCAUACUAAAUAUUUGAAGACCCAGACAUACAAUUAUGAGUUGCAUCUGGAUUACUUAUAAAUGCCCGCAAAUAUACCAAAAAGUAAAAAUAAAAAUAAUAAUCAAAAUCCCCAUUACUUGUCUAUAAAAGAGAUUUUGUUUCUCAAUAGCAACAGAUGGUUGUUGCAACCCACUCUUCAUUAGCAGCAAAUAUAGAUAUUUGCUAAAGAGAGAAUUAUCAUGACAAAAUAGUCUAAGUGAUUACUAGGAGUUUAAUACCAUAAAAAAUUACCAGAUAAAAGUGAAAAACAUUUGGAGAAAUUAUAAUUUUAGGUACAUAAGCAUUUCCACAAAGACAGUGUAUGAAGCACAUGCUUCUUUAACAAUACAAUGAAGUUUCUAACUUUCAGUAAUGAAGAGAAAUUAAAAUGAAAUAAGAUUGAUAAUUGCUUGACACUGAUAUGUAAUAUAAUAAAUAAAUAAAUGUGUGUAAAAGGAGAUAAUUUAACUAUACCUGCUUUCCUGAUUUUACACGAAGCAAGUCCCUCAUUUUCUCCACAGCAUAUAUGGAGCAUGCUCGUAAUUCAACUUCCUCCUCACUGCCUGAAAGUAUUUCAUUAUCAGACUCGAUCAUUCUGACAAGGGUUGAACUAUAUUUUAGCACACCAAGUUGCUGAAGCACAGCAGGAACAAUAUAGUCCGCAAAUAUAGUAAUUGAGCCAAUGUCCGUGAAUUCUCCAUAUCCUCGGCCCUUGAAUGCACCAAAUAGAUCAGCUGCAAAUAUCUGAGCUCUUUUAUACAAGAAUACUUGGUGGCCCUUGUAUACUGAGUGAUCUCGAAAGCCUAAAGCAUUUGAAUCAGGUGGAAGCAAUAUUUCACUAUUCUUGCAAACAAAUGCUACAUCAUCCUAUACAAUCAUAUUAUUAUAUGGCCACUUCUAAGGAAAUAAAAAUUCACAAUGAAGAGCCAAAAGAGAAAAAAAAAAUUACCAGGAAAGAUACUGGUUACAGUAGCAACAAGCUUUGCAGCUGAUUUCCCACAGGUCUCCACAAGAUUGGAUGCUUUACCUCCAAAACUUCUUUCCAGCUCAAAACCAACCUAAAUUAUGAAUUUACAGAUAUCAAGCAACUAAUUUUGUUUUAUUAUGAGGCUAAGAAAUUGCAUGUCAUCGGAAUUAGCUCCAUACAUAUGAAGAACUCAAACAUCAAGAAUUUCAAGUCUCACAAUAAUAAAAAUAAUAUCAAUUAGAACUUUAUAAACCUCAUGGAGUAAACGAAUCCGCUCAUCCUCCAAAGGAAGUGGCCUGGGCCAUUUUAACAAAUCACGUAAUUGAGGACCUGUGAACUUCUGCAGACGAUCAGCAUCAAACACAGAUUUGUCAUUUUCCAAAGCUGCCUUUAGGCCUGAUGCCAAAUGAUCAUAGCUUAAAUCCUUAUCUAUAAACAACAAGCAGCACAUUAUCCAAAAGAGGCAAAAAAGAAAACAUUAGUGAACUACAUAAAAAUAGUGUUAAAUAGCUGAAUGCAGAAAAUCCAUCUAAGGGGUUCCAUGUGAUAUUCAAAUGAGUUGACUAAUCCAUUAAAAUUAUAAACUAGUUAAACGAUUUUACAAUUACAAGUUGAAGAUGGCAAUUAAAUAAGUAAAAAAUGGAAAUUUUGUGAUUGCUGGAUGCCUCAUUUCAAUCCUUUCUUCGCUUGAUUAAAAAGUAUAAUUAAGCCUCAUAAAGCGUUUCCGCAACGUCAUCAAUGCAUAACAUAUUCUAACCUAGGAAAUGCAUAACCUGCAUUUGUCACUCUCUUUCUCUCUAUGCUUCAUUUUGAAAAAAAUGAGAAGUUAGAUCAGCCUAAAAUUCCAAGACAAACAAGUGAAGAACACAAUGGGUUUGAGGUAUAUACACAAGCACAAAUGGAGUGCUUUCAGGUCCCAUUUUAAAAAAAAAUGACUUCCAAAAGGUCCAGCAAAAGCAUCCUUAAAAUGUUUUUCAUUCCUUCACAAAAGCAAGCAAACAAUUACAAAAGGAUCAACAAAUCAUCCAAUGUAAGCAUCUGCCACAUGAUGUACCUUAAAAAGAAAAUGAAAAUUUAAAGCAAUCCUCAUCUUAAUUGCAAGAACAUAAGAUGACACUCCACAACUCACAGAUGCAAACUCCCACUAGUAACUUAUGAAAAUUCUUUAUUCAGAGUUCCAGACAGAAUAAUUAAGAGUAAUGGUUUUAUGCUGGAUUAAAAAUAUACCACUGUUUUUGUCCACCGAAAAAAAAAAUAUACCACUGUUUUACAUUUUUACGGCAUGAAGCUUCAACAUCAAUCAAGGCAAUAGGAAAUGCUGAACAAAAGCUUUUGAUGGAACAUGGCAAGGAAGAGUGCAAGAGAACAAGGACAGCAACUUUAAAGAACUAGCUUUAUCCUCCUAGCAAGAAUGGUGCCAAUCAAAGGUGGAAGAAACAGGGCCAGGUAGACACUAAGCAAAAUGAUAUGGGAAAACUACAAACUUAACUACACAAGCAAGCAAGAGGAGGCAUAACAAUAACGUCAAUGAUAGUACUUCACAUCAAUACACAUCCCAAGUGUUUACAGAACAGCUUUGAGACUCAAUAAAAUGAACCAUAAGGCCUUGUUUGAAAUGAUUCUUGUGCUAGAAUUCAAUUCAAUUCUAAUAAAAGAGUUCAAUUCAAAUGAAUUUUUAAAAAAAUUCAGGUGUUUGGAACCAAUUUUAAAAUGAUAGAAUUCAUUUGAAUCAUAUUGUUUGGAAUACUUGACAAAUGAAUGGAAGGUUCCUAUUUUUCUAGUUUGCCCCCUUAUUUACAAAUAAAUAAGUAUGACUUAAAGUAGGGGUGUUUUAAGUUUUAAAUAGAAUACUUAACUAAAUGAAUUGAAUUCUUGCAAAAUCAUGCCACUUUUUGCAUGAAUUCAUUUAUUUCAAAACGACUUAUUUUUAACUAAAAGAAUCGAAUUCUAUUAAUUUUAAACAUUCCAAACAUGAGAAUUAGUGAAAUAGAAGUCAAUUUGAAUUCUUUCAUUUUUAGACUUUCCGAGAACACCCUAAAAAGCUAGGGGAAAAUAAAAAUAUAAUUAAAUAAAACUCUCAAAGGAACAUAAAUACUGCAGAAAUUAAAAAAAAAAAAUCCAGUGGUACAGAAAUUGCAUUAAUUUGAUUAUUUCAAUUAACUUACAACCGCUGAAUCAAGAGAAACUUCACCGAGUUGUCUAACAACAAAGCAUACAAAGCAAAGAACUAGAGGUUUCCCAUCUAAUCAGAUCAUUAACCAGGCAUUGUAGUCAGAUAAACUUCUAAGUCCAUAGAGUGCCCUCAUUAUGCAAUUUCCUAUCAGCUCAAGUAACUUCCAUCCCAACUCUUCACUUUUUUUUUCUUGGUUCAAGUGCUUAUAUUAUGUUACCGUAAAGCAGACAGGACGGGAAAAGAAAAAAGAAGAGAAAAUAAAGGAAGAAGAUGAAAAAAUUUCUUCAUUCCAAAAAUAAAAUCAGCAAAUGGGUGAAAUUUGAAGGGUAAAACUUGUCCUGUGCGCUAAGAAAAAACAUGUUAACAUAGAGCAAGGCUCUUAACGAAAUGAUUCAACUAUUUGCUUUGCCCCUUCCAAUACUCCAUGUUAGGUUCCCCGCUUUAAUAAAGAAGAGAAGUUGAACAGAAGUAAUCCUAAGCCUGAGUCUACCAGCAAAAAUAAACACCAAUGAAACAACAAUUCUUGCGUUUUUCAGGCAAACUGCAGAAUAACAAAACCAGCAUUAAGGGAUAAGAAACAAGAAACAGAAAAUGGAGCAACAUACCAGGCCAGAAGCAAAAAUUCAACGUAUCCAAAACAAACAAAUACUGAACAGUUAGCGGUCCGUUAUCGAAGUAAUGAAUCCCUUCAAAAUCCCACUCUAUUCUCGGAAUUUCCUGAAUAUUCUCCACCGCUCUCUCAAUCCCUGCAGAGUCGACGACAACGUGAAAGGAACAGCUAGCCACCCAAGCAGCGCUGGCCCUGACCUCUUCCAUGGCUGCUGGCUGCUAAUUUUGAACCCUAAAAAAGGAUAGUAUUUUGGGAUACAUAUGGUUGAUAUACCAGUAAUAAAUAAUAUGAAUUAAAAAAAAAAAAAGGGAACACCGGUCUGGCGCGUGAGCCAAUAGUCUCCUAAUUCGAAGUUUCCCGCUUUUUGUGUGGCAGUUUUUCUACGUUGGUCUCCAUUUUCUCGUGUCCCCGGCCCGAUGCGUGGAGUAGGUCUCGACCACGGAAUCUCCACCGUAAGCAGGCCCACAGGCCGGCGUAUGGUUUGGGUCUCAAGUCUCAACGAGAAGUCCCACGUGCGCAGUGAGCAGGAGGGGACCAAUGAGCUUCAGCUCUCA
rnacentral:misc_RNA from 1 species